CAGCAGGUCACAAUCAUGCCGUGCUGACUGCAGUGCGUGGGCCAGCGCGUUCUUGGCCUGGGAAGAGGUGCAAACAGGCAUCAGGAAGUUUUCCUUGAGAUUACCACACUAUAAGAGUUUGUAGUAAGUUGUGGACCAGACAAGCCUCACUCUUAGAGAAGAAAGAGACCCAUAUUCUGGCCAAUUGGUGCACUCUAUGCUUUGUCCAGACACAGAGUCUAGGCCUUACCUUGACCUCCUCCUCCAGUUGCCUCUUGAGGUCCUCCAGCUGCUGUGUAUAUGUGAGCUUGCCUCGGGUUAGCUGAGAGAUCAGAGCCUCCUUCUCGUCCAGCUGCCGGGACAGCUCCCCUGGGGAGGCACCAAGCUUGGCCCGCUGGCUGGUGAGGUCAUUGACAGAACGCUGCGUCUCCUCGGCCUUGCUCCGGUGCUCAUUCAUCUGGUCUUCCAAGGUCCGGCACAUCUUCUCCAGCUUCUGCUUCACCCGCUGGAGGUUGUCGAUCUGCUCGCCCAGCUCCGCCACGCUGUCGGCAUGCUUCUUGCGCAGGGCCGCCGCCGUGGCCUCGUGCUGCAGCGUGGCCUCCUCCAGGUCCCGCCGCAUCUUCUGGAACUCGGCCUCGCGCUUCUUGUUCAUCUCUAUCUGCACGGAUGUGGCCCCGCCUGCCUCCUCCAGCCUUUCACUGAUCUCCUCCAGCUCCCGGGACAGGUCAGAGCGCAGCUUCUCCACCUUGGCCCGGGCUGUGCGCUCGGCCUCCAGCUCCUCCUCCAGCUCCUCGAUGCGUGCCUAGCCAGGGACACAGAGGGUCAGACCUGCUUCCUGCACCCCUCCAUUGAGGCCGGCCCUGGAGCUCUAAAAGAUCCCUGGUCUAUGAGAACAGCACGUCCAUGAUGCUCUCCUGCGUCAGCUUCAGGUCUCCCUCCAGCUUCCGCUUGGCUCGCUCUAGGUCCAUGCGCACCUUCUUCUCCUGCUCCAGGGAUCCCUCCAGCUGGCAGAGAGAAGGACCAGCCAUGAACCACAAGUGCCGUCUGGUUCCGCCUGCUCCUCCCGCUGCUUCUGCUUGAACUUCAUGUUUCCAAAGUGCAUGAUGGCGCCUGUCAGCUUGUAAAUGGAGUUCUUCUCUUCUGGAGUGAAGCCCAGCACGUCAAAGGCGCUCUGGAAGCAGCCCCCAUAUCAGUGAAGCCCAGAAAAGGAAGUGUGACCAGUUAAUGAGACCCGCAUACACUGGAGAGAGAACCUGAAUUUGUUUUCCUAUCCCCUGUAAAGUAUGAGAUUCCCACAAGCAGAGAGAGACUCCAAAACACAGACAGACAUUAAAGAUCAGGGCCUUAUCACCAUCCACUGUGAAUGCUCAUAGCUGUUCUCUGUAGCUGCUGUGGGCUACCCGCCUAUGUUCCUAUAUCUUUCCCUGCCUAGGUUUUGGUACCCGUGUGUAUCUCUCCUCUACCCAACAGCUCACUUCAGCCCCCAGGGUCUGCAGGGCUCUCCUUCCUGUAUCCCUAGUAGUGUGGUUUUGUUUCUUUCCUGUCUCUGUCCAUGGUUCUCAGCACACUGUGAUUUGACAACACCAAAUAUUGGCUUCAUAGCACGUGUCUUAGCAUACCCUGUUCACGGGGUAGAUCUCCAGGAGGGUUGUACCACUUUAAAAAUCAGAUAGCCAGUAUCUUGGCUCUGUUCCUAAGCUGGUACCAUGUGCCACGACCAAGUGUCUGCCCGUAGCUGAGAACUCGCAUACUUACAUCCGUGGCCAUGAGCUCUUCAGAGUCAUCAAUGGAGGCCACAGUCGUCUCUCCUUGGGAGAUGAACGCAUAAUCGUAGGGGUUGUUGGUGAUCAGCAGCAUGUCUACAAGUGGAAGGAAUGUGGUUCGGGUGUGCCACAGCCCCUGGCUAUCCUGGGGGCUGCUGGCUAUAGCAAACAGGCCAAGAGAGAGGCUCAGAUAGGGCUUGAUUUGACCCCCAAGAUUGAACCUAGCAGUAUCAUAGGGCCCAAGGCAUACUGCCUGAACCCAGUCUUAAGCAGAGAGGACCAGGUUGCCAUGGAAAUAGCUGGUCUCAGUCUGACUCACCUAGAAGCUCAGGCUUUUUAUUAGACAGGAUUUGGUAGAAAAUGUGAUAAUCUCUUUCUGCUUUCAGCUGGAAAAUAACCCUGGAUUUUUCCAGAAGGUCUGUGAACAGGCAGAUAGGAGAGGAAUGAGAUGCCAACUUUCCUGUUGCCCCAAAAUGGAUUCGGAUGAAUUUCCCCUGAAGAGAUGGAUGGGAGAGAGAAGCAAUGAGCCUGGGAAAGGCUCACAUUUGAGGCCAUCCUUCGAAAGCCAGCACAAGUCCCAAGUUCAAGGUGGAGUAUCACUCACAAAUCGAGAGGAGUUGUCAUUCCGAACUGUCUUGGCAUUGCCAAAGGCCUCCAGAGCAGGGUUGGCUUGGAUGAUUUGAUCUUCCAGGGUACCCUGGAAGAGGUCAAGAAGGAUGGGAUAUGAAGGCUGCCUACUCUUUUUCUGUAAUGCAAGCCUUUACAUGACAGCGGGCCUACCUUGCCUGGGGUCUGGUCCUUCUUGCUGCGGUCCCCAAUGGCGGCAAUAACAGCAAAAUAUUGGAUGA